UGGGGAAUAUUGCGCAAUGGGGGGAACCCUGACGCAGCCAUGCCGCGUGAAUGAAGAAGGCCUUAGGGUUGUAAAGUUCUUUCGGUAUUGAGGAAGGUUGAUGUGUUAAUAGCACAUCAAAUUGACGUUAAAUACAGAAGAAGCACCGGCUAACUCCGUGCCAGCAGCCGCGGUAAUACGGAGGGUGCGAGCGUUAAUCGGAAUAACUGGGCGUAAAGGGCACGCAGGCGGUUAUUUAAGUGAGGCGUGAAAGCCCUGGGCUUAACCUAGGAAUUGCAUUUCAGACUGGGUAACUAGAGUACUUUAGGGAGGGGUAGAAUUCCACGUGUAGCGGUGAAAUGCGUAGAGAUGUGGAGGAAUACCGAAGGCGAAGGCAGCCCCUUGGGAAUGUACUGACGCUCAUGUGCGAAAGCGUGGGGAGCAAACAGGAUUAGAUACCCUGGUAGUCCACGCUGUAAACGCUGUCGAUUUGGGGGUUGGGGUUUAACUCUGGCGCCCGUAGCUAACGUGAUAAAUCGACCGCCUGGGGAGUACGGCCGCAAGGUUA
rnacentral:rRNA from 1 species